UACGAAGGGGGCUAGCGUUGUUCGGAAUUACUGGGCGUAAAGCGCGCGCAGGCGGUCCUUCCAAGUCAGAGGUGAAAGCCCAGAGCUCAACUCUGGAACGGCCUUUGAGACUAGAGGACUAGGGUACGGGAGAGGUGAGUGGAACUGCGAGUGUAGAGGUGAAAUUCGUAGAUAUUCGCAAGAACACCAGUGGCGAAGGCGGCUCACUGGCCCGAUACUGACGCUGAGGCGCGAAAGCUAGGGGAGCAAACGGG
rnacentral:rRNA from 1 species